CGGUAUGUGUAUAAUCGAUCUUGUAAACAACAAGGAAUUUCUAAAUUUGAAAUACAUAAAAAAAAAAAAAACAGCGCCGUAAAAUAUAUCUUUUCGCUAAGAUUAUGUUUACAUUAAAAUUUCCCUGUUUGGUAUCUGGGAUAGUAUCUAACAAGUACGAGGAUAAUAAUGCCACAAAUUUAGGGCUUGUAAUGCUAGCAGACAGUAAACGCGCUAAAAAUAAGAAACUUAUGGACGAUAAUUUGCAAAGGUGUUUGUUGGCAUCCUGUCGCUUUCUAAGUAUAGCGGACGCAAUUUUUCGCGGUCGAUUUCUUCAUCAUUCUUGUUAAACCAGAUUUUAUAAUUAUAUAUAUUUACAACUACUAUUUAAAACUGGCAGUAAAAAAUAGAUUUCAUUAACACUUUGUACCAUACUACUCGGUAUUAACACAUAAUGCCAUCUAGUGCCAAGAUUAAAAUCACAUUAGCGUAUUACGUUUUAUAUUUAAUAAAAUUUAAAAUUUAUAAACUUAUUUUUUCUUAAUUUUAUUCUAUAUAAUACAUCUGCCAAUGUCCAGAAAUAUAUUUUUAAAUAUAAUACCUAUAUAUAAUAUUACAUUAAAUAUAUAGAUAUACAUAUCUAGAUAGAAACGUUAAACAUCAAUGAAAUGUUUCAUUGAAUAAAAUACGAAAGCUCGAAUUUGGUGCUCGUAUUUGAAAAGCACGUACUCGUCCUGUUUUCGAAUAGCGAAUGGUAUUACGUGUAUUACGAUUGGUUGCGGCAUUCCUCGGAUCAGCCAAUCGAGGACUGCGACACAAACAGGAGCAUCGGCUUUUCUUUUUGUUGACGCAAUGGUGCCGUUAAAUUUAGAAACGCGCGCACUUCAUACUCGGCCUGGAUCAUCCGAACGCUUUCGCAUGUAUUCCUAUUUCAUUCUCGGCAAGAGCGAUCGAAGGUCAUCGGAAAUAAAUUUGGAAUACGUGAUCUAAAUCAACGGUCGUCCAUUAAUGCCUGAUUCUGGCGACCGAGUUAAUUUCCUCGUAAUUACAUAGUUUGGUUAAUCACCGAACGUAUUUCUGCGUAGUAAUCGAAUGGAACGUCGAAACUUAAUGAAUGCUUCUACACUUUGUCGAACCGUUUCCAUUAAGAAUUACGAUCAGGUAUUUGGAGAAUUAUUUAUAUCUAUAGUGGCUACAAGAAGUAUUUGCACAUAUUUUUAUUUUAGCAGUUUUACGUUUUAUUUUCAGAGUAUCAAAUUUUUGUCGUUGUAUCAAAGUAUUACUAAAUGAUACAAAACUUAUUGCUAUACUUUAGUAAUUUUCUAUAGUUGGAUCUAUUUAAUUGGUAUAAAAAGAUAAAUGCUAUAAUAAUUACUAAAUAGAAUGACAUGUAGAUACUUUUUUGCUCUCUGUAUAUAUUAGGGAAUAACUUUGUAUUUGACAAAUUUUGGGAUAUGGAUUUAGAUACAAAAAAUCUAUAUAAUUGUGCAAAGACGUGAAAAUUCUCAGGUAAAUUAGCUACUGUGUUAUUUGAAUACUAUAAGUUGUUUUAGAAACAAAUGUUUUAUUGCUGUGAUUCUUUUCAUAAUUUGAAGAAGUUGGCGCCACUUAUCUUACAAUAUAAUUGUUACCAACCUUAAAGUACGACUCUGUACUUAAUGAAAUAAAUUAAUACAAAAAAUUGAAAAUUUAUAAUAUAAUUCUUCUUUCUACCGAAGAGAAGAAUUAUAUAAUGCAUUUUAGUAUCGAAUAAUAAUUUGUGUUAUUUGAAAAUUUUGAAAUUUAUGCGUAUGAAAAUUUGUUUCAUAGAAGUUUGCAAGACUGAGUUUGAAACGUUGCUUGACCCUUCGGCCACAAAAGUAAAGUGCAAUUUUUCGUAGUGUGUUAAUUAAGUUUUUAACGGUCAAAUGGCACAAACCAUACGCAAAAUCAGUAAUAUCUAUCAAAGGUGUCUCUGCAGGUUGCAUCAAUGGAGCCAGUGUUGCAGUUUACAGAAUGCAAUCAAGAAAAGGUAUGUGCAAUUUCUGUUUUUUGGUAGAUUAUUAUUACAUACCACAAAUUUGAAGGUACUGUGUGCGUUGAAGCUAAUAUUUUGUACUUUAAUCUUUUGCUUUCACCAGUAAAUGAAAUAAUAGAUUGUGAAUAAUGAUAGCUUUCUGAUAAAAGUAUACAAAAAUGAAUUAUGAUUUUCAAAUAACCGAAGCACGAUUUUAUUGAACAGUAACGACGUUCAUCACUCGACUGCAAUUAAAGAAAUGCAGAUCAUGAACCCAGAUAGAAAUUUAUUUUGCUCUCGAAAUGUUCCAAUAAGUACUUAAGGUAUGUUCUAUGGUAUUUUUGCAUAAUAUAUUUAAAUCUCCUAUAAAUGCACAAACACCUACAAUCCAAUCAUUAUAUUACAGAACAAUCUAGUAUCAAAUCGAUGCUUCUUAUCGUACUAUACUUUCUAUCAUCUAUGAACGAGUUCGUGGCGAAUGGAAAAGGGAAAAUAAGAAAAAGCUCGGUGGUCGUGGACGCAGAAUGAUGCGUCGCGUCGCGUCGUGACGUAAGAGUCCCGGAUUCGCGGUCGCUAUAUUUAGGCUGCCCGGGCCCCGGUCCGUUUUUAGUUGGAAACAGGUGGACAUCCAAGCUGUGCGAAGGCAGCAUAGUCGACGAGUCUCUGGCUGACUUUGACCGAUUUUCGCGAACCCCCCACCCCCCUUCCCCAUCGGAAUGGGCUCCUUUAUGCCCGCGACGACGAUAAUGACCCAUAAAACAACACGUGCCCACCCUUCGGUCCAUAGGAUUCCAUUUAUUUGUUCAAAUCGUUCAAGAUCACCUCGACUCAUUUAAAAGUUUAUUGCUUAAGAGUGUUUCGAUAAUUUGAUAGUUUAUAUACCUGCAAGGUGGAUAUCAAGGAAAAUUAUUAUUCUGAGCGAGUUGAAGAUGAAAUACCUUGUAUUCAGAAUUCGCUCGAAUUAGUCUCCUGUUUGAGAAGAUAUCUGAUAGUUGGAGAAUGUUUAUAUAUGCAAGAAACGGAGAUUUAAAAGAACGAUUCUACAGGCAAAUUUUUUCAGUGAUGGCAAAUUUUUUAGUUAUGUCCAAGAUGAAAAGAGUAUUAUAUGGUUCGUAAUGUUUGGAAUGUUAGCAAGUAUGGUAAAUAAAAGAUACAGCGUUCUAAUAAUAACGAUAGUUUAGGAACGAGCAAGUUUUCUGAGAACUUGUUUGGAAUUUCUCAAAGGUUCCCAUGUUUCUCGUUUUUCGCGCUAAAUCCUUCCAAAUAAUUUUCAUAGUUAAGCUUUUAUCAUUCUGUUCGUAAAGCUAGUUACCUCUAAUUAACUAAUAACUCGAACUUUUGUUAAAUUCCGAUUAUAAAUAUUAACUAACCAACGAAUCGAAUUUAUCUUUUUAUUCUUCAACAUAACU